GGGGAUGUGGUGGAAUUGGUAGACACGUGCGACUCAAACUCGCAUGCCGCAAGGCGUAACGGUUCAAGUCCGUUCAUCCCUACCA
rnacentral:tRNA from 2 species